rnacentral:rRNA from 1 species
AUGGACUUCGAGGGCCAGUCCUUUGCUCGGUCCUACAACGUCGUCGCCUGUCGCCCCCCUCCCCUGAGCCAGGCACAGCUGCGGCUCCUCGGUGCGUUCCCACCUCCGCUCGCCUGGGAACUCGCUCUGAGGUGCAUCGCGACAAUGGAGGCGCAAAGCUCUGGCGACCUCAACCUCAGCCCCGCCGGUGCGCACAAGAUGGACUUCGAGCCGCUGCGCCUCGGAUGCGUUGCACCACUGAACACCACCCCCUACACCUCCCCGCGCUCCUACCCUCGGCCUAGCCCGUCGACUUGCUGCGAGUCAUCUUGUCGCGCUCUGUGGAGAUGGAGGAGGUCAAGAUUGUGUUGUGGCGUGGAUGGUGGCCUCCAUCAUCAGGACCAGAUUGUGGAGUCUGUCCUCGCCCGCAAUCGUGCCCUGUCGUCGACCAUCCGCACCCUCACCAAAGUUGUGGCUGGCCGACAUGCUUCGGCCAAUGCUGGCAAUGGCGGAGGCCCGAGCAAUGGGGCGUCUGGAGGUGAUGAUGGCGCGGCUGAAUGCGGGCAUGGUGCAGCGCGCAACCCACCCACCGCCACAGCCGCAAGCGACGCCGCAUGUGUUGAUGGUGUCACCGCCUCCUUAUGCCGCCUCGAGACGUAUGAUGGAGCACUGGUACAUGAUCCUGCACUAGAUGGCCAUCGCCCAUCGGUGAACCCCUCGUGCCUUGCCUUGGACCCGCUGCCCUUGUCAUCGAGCGCACGUGAUCCCGACCACGUAGACAUCAUGCCAUACUUGGUCAACCCUAGCGAGCAUGGGGACAAGGAUAGCUCCAUGGGCCACCCGUGGUUAGACAACGAGAUUCAAACAGCGAAGCCCACCUUGUCGUCUGGUCAGGACGAGGAGCUUCUGGGUGCUUCCACUGAAGAAGAGCUGAGCCACGACCUUUCUCCAGCGGCCCAUCAUGGGCACAUGCUGCACCUAAAGUCCUGCAAGAGCAACAACCCUCCAUGGAAAGCCCAUAAGCUUGCACGGCCUAGCGCUGAUCAUCACGGUGAUCGUGGGUAUCUCGAUCGAGGUCUAGCUGCGCUCUUGUGCCCACCCGUCGACCUCUCCUACAUGGAUUACGGCCCUAAGAUCCUUGAAUGGAAUGUGCGCGGCCUCAACGCGUGUGCUCGUCGUACCGCCAUCCAAUCACUAACUGUAGCCACCAGUGCUCGAUCGUUUGGAAUUGAUCUGCUCACCGAUUGUCCUCGAAGCCCUAGGCUUGGAAUUCGACGAUUAUGUGUACCUGUCCGUGUUGGGGACCCGUGGCGGCAUCUUUGUUGGCCUGGAAAACGAAUCUUGCAGCCAAUCUCGCUUGGCCUCGGCGGCCAUGACCUAGAUCGCACCGUCCUUGCGCUUCGCAUGCGUUGGCUUUGGUUCAGCCUCACUGACAGCGCCAAGGCAUGGGGUGGCCUUAACCUGCAGUUUACCGCCGAGGAACACGCCUUCUUCGCUUCCAUCACCAUGCAGAUUGGCAACGGCCAACAUGCCCUAUUUUUGGGGGACCACUGGAUUGGCCAGUGUUCUGUCUGCGAGAUCACACCGCUCAACCUCACCGACAGCGCCAAGGCAUGGGGUGGCCUUAACCUGCAGUUUGCCGCCGAGGAACACGCCUUCUUCGCUUCCAUCACCAUGCAGAUUGGCAACGGUCAACAUGCGCCCUAUUUUGGGGGAACCAUUGGAUUGGUCAGCGUUCUGUCUGCGAGAUCACACCGCUCAAGUUCUUCCAUUGGCUCGCCCGUCUUGAUUGGUGUUGGACCACGGAUCGCCUCUCCGCCAUGGCCUGCAGCACCCCACAAGCUGCCCCUAUGCGACCAAGGACCAGAGAUAAUGCACCACCUCCUCCUAGCGUGCCCCUUCUCUUGGCAAGUUUGUGCAUACAAAACAUCUGUGCAGGAGCCAUGGCUGGAAUCCGCGCAUCUACUUGUGGUCCUUUGUAUCAAGAAAAUCAUAGUCCUAAUGCAUCUUGGAAGGACAAAACCAUCCCUCGAGCCCUUCUGCAUGGAGACUUAUAAGGUCGGGUUUAGCAACUGGUUCUUCAUGCUUCCUCAGCUAUUCUCUCCUGUAGCUCUGAUAUUGCUGAUUCUUGUCGGUCCUGUUGGCUUUAAUCUUGAUUCCAUGAGGUGGGAUGCCGAGCUAGCCGUGCGAUGCGGCCGGAGUGCAAGGCGUGAUGCCAUGCAACAGUGUCGUCCACAAGCAUACUGCGAUGCAACUUUUAAUCCUUCUGUUGCAGGAAUAGUAGCAGGGUUGGGAGUGUUGCUCCACAACCUAUCCACUUAUGGUGCAAGAUUUGUUCAAGCUACCACCUUCCAUAUUGGCUCCGCACUAAAGGCCAAUACUGGUUCAAGGAUCAGAGAAGGUGCUCAAGUUUCGAAGAUCCAUCAACAAGGUUUUCCAUGCUCUAGCAAGGAGUCCAAUGCGACUUCCGUACAAGUGCUCUUCUGGCGUGCCGAAUAUGUAAAGGCCUUGAAUAUCGGAAAUGCAAAACGCGGCCCGGGCUCGCAUGCUAUCUUAAUCUGUGCCACCCAGUUGCAUCGGGAUUGCUAG